rnacentral:ncRNA from 21 species
UGAGCUACGAUCAUUUUUAACGGCUUAAAUCACUAUAGCUGGUAACGGGAAUCCGGUGAGACUCCGGAACUGACGCGCAGCGGUAUUGGGGAACAAGUGUGGCACAAAGACACUGGCAGUUGCCGGGAAGUCGCCACACAAGGCCGAACGAACAGACACACCGUUCACGCCCCUAAGUCCGAAGACCUGCCAAGAACGCAUCACUGCAC